rnacentral:rRNA from 1 species
AGACGAGGGAUCCUAGCGUUGUUCGGAAUUAUUGGGCGUAAAGCGGGUGCAGGUGGCUCGUUAAGUCAGGUGUGAAAUCCCAGGGCUCAACCCUGGACGUGCAUUUGAUACUGAUGAGCUUGAGUGUGGGAGAGGCUACUAGAAUUCUUGGUGUAGUGGUAAAAUACGUAGAUAUCAAGAGGAACAUCGGUGGCGAAGGCGGGUAACUGGACUGCAACUGACGCUGAGGCGCGAAAGUGUGGGGAGC